CAAACAGGAAGUGGUCCCUUUUUCCCCUUCGCAUCCUCCAGCGGCGCCAUAUGAUCCACCAGCAAGGGAGGACGCCAAUGAAAGGUGUCCAAUAAGAUAAGUCUUAUAAAAUAUAUAGAUUUAUGAUAAUUAAGACUGAACUAGCAGAUGAGAAAUCCUAGUCAUCGGCCAAGCAGCAUUUGUACAUAAUAUAAGUCUCUGUAUAAUUUUGUCCAUCCACGUGCGGGCAGAACUCAGGUGGCUGGCAGAGACCGCCCAUGUGGUAGGGCUUGUGCAGCUUUUGGUGGAAAGAUUUAUCAUAACAAGGACUAUUACACAGAGAACCCUGUCUUGAAAAAACACAGAGAGAGAGAGAGAGAGAGAGAGAGAGAGAGAGAGAGAGAGAGAAAGAGAGAGAGAGAGAGAGAGAGAGAGAGAGAGAAGCCCAGAGUAAAAGGUAGAUGGGAUAAUUUAAGAAAAACUGGCUAGAAACAAGUCAAGCUAAGGCUGGGCAUUCAUAAUAAAAAAUAAACCUCCAUGUUAUUUAUUUGAGAGCUGGAUGUCAGGCCACAAAAGAGCAAAAAGUAAAGAGCAAAAAGUAAAAACAACCCAUUACACAGGAGCAUACAUCUACACAUAUACCUACAUACAUCUAUACGCACACUCACAAAUGUACAUACACAUGAAAACACACAGAGAAAAAGUAAAAGGCUUUGUGUGGAUUGAGCCAAACCAUAGUAAAUACUGUCAUUAAAGCAAAAUUAGUCCAGGUUUUCAAUUCCAGAGAUGCCAGAUAGCUGAGGUCAUGGCUGUCUUGUUAUUGAGUGUGAACUAAUCAGAGCAAAGGUUAUGCAGUGCUCCUAUUCCCAGACACUGAGUCACCAGUGACCCAGCAUGUAUCAUUUUGCUCUAUUUGUGUCUUGGAACCUAAUGUAGAAUGCACCCUCACACAAUCCCUCAGGGAAAUCACAGGAGCGCUGUUAAUUAAUGUUUGGAAAAUAGCCUAAUUUGUAUAUGUCUAGCCUUCUGAAACAUGACAUCAAUGCGUUUGAGAUGUAGAGUUAAUUAAUUAAAUUAGUCAACUACAACUCCAGGCAUACUUAAUAUUUGUUAAGCUACAUUCUGAUGCAGGAGUUUGCUUUUUGAGACAGGGUUUCUCUUUGUAACCUUGGCUGUUCUGGAACUUGUUUUGUAGACCAAGCUGGUCUCGAGUUCACCAAGUGCUGGGAUUAAAGGUGUGUACCACCAUCACCUUUUUUAAAAAAGAUUUAUUUAUUUAUUAUGUAUACAGUGUUCUGCCUGCAUAUAUGCCUACACGCCAGUUCUCAUUAUAGAUGGUUGUUAGCCGCCAUGUGGUUGCUGAGAAUUGAAUUCAGGACCUCUGGAAGAGCAACCAGUACUCUUAACCUGAGUCAUCUCUCCACCCCUACCUGCCACCACAGCUGCUUUUGAAGUAAUAGUCACAGAAGGCUUCUGAGGAGACAUAGCCCCUUGCCUGGGGAUGUAGCUCUGUAGUGCCCAAAUUCUGAAGCCCAAAAUCAUGAAGAAACCCAUUCCAAUGCAAAAGCAAAGAGUCUUUUAUUAUUAACAAGCUAACUGUAUUAUCUCUGUCCAUCCCACACUGUGGGUGCAGUGAGAAAGACCUAGAGGGGCUGAGAGGCAGGGAAUAUAUUGGGGUGAGCAAGGGGAGUGUCUAGAGAUAUGCAACAGUCUCAGGACUGGUACACUUCCAGGCUUGGGUGACCUGUCCUGUGUUGAUUGGUCAACUGGUUGCUAUGGCCAAUAGGCCCUCCCAGGGUGGUUGCUAUGCUCUGCAAGCCACUGCUACACCAUUGUUAUCAUAAGACACAUCCAGAGCCCGGAAAGCACUGGCCGGAGCCUACCAGCUAAUGUCUGAUUGGUUUCUUGCCACGUGGAGGCUUCCUGGUGACUGGGAAAGGUCCAGCAAGAUCAGAAGUGCUGAAUCAGAGGCCUACAUCUUGCUGGGUCUUUUCUGUAGCUGGUCAUGACUGCUAAAGCAGGGGGCUGGGUGAGGGUCUGGUCCCUUCAGCUCAAAGGUAGGAAUCUUGCCUAGCCUGCUGUGGUGCUUCAAAUGAGAACUGUAUCCCAUAAGCUCUUCUAUUUGAACACUUGUUCCCCCAUUGGUGACACUGCUUAGACAGUAUAUGUCACCUUUAGGGCGUGGAGCCUUGCUGGAGUAUGUAGGGUGGGCUCUGAGCAUUUAUAGCGUUGCCCCACUUCUAGUUCACUCUCUCUGCUUUCUUUGUGUAGUUGAGAUGUGAUCUGUCAGAUUGACUGGCCACCUGUUGCCGUAGCUUCCUCACCGUUAUGGGCAUCUAGCCCUCUGGAACUGCUGGCCAAAACUAACUCUUCUAAACAAACAAACAAACAAAAAAAAAAAAAACCAGCAGUGCUGGGAAGAAGCCCUGUGUAGUUGAUGCACUCGAUGUCACACCGUCUGUGUGCGUUAUUACCAGGAGAGCUGACGUGGAAGAAGUCCAGGUCUUGACGGGAAGAGACUGAAUCUUAGCAACAAUGACUAUCCGGGAAAGUCUACUUGUGGGGAGUCCCUACAAAUGCCACUGCUGUCAAUCUUCAUGAUGCAAGAAGGAAAUCUGGUUCAACAUGACUCAGUAGUCAGUGUUGGUUCAAACUUCCCCAGGGAGUUUAUUUUUGACAUAUUUAUUUAAACACACUACAACUUUGGGGAAAGGUUCCUGGUGGCAAUUAUGGCAAUAAUGUUUAUGGUGUGACUAUAUCAAAACUCUUUUUCAGGGGCUGGAGAGAUGGCUCAGUGGUUUAGAGCAUUGGCUGCUUUUCCAGAGGUUAUGAGUUCAAUUCUCAGCAACCAAAUGAUGGCUCAUAUCCAUCUACAGUGGUAUCUGAUGCCCUCUUCUGACAUAAAAUUGUACAUGCAAAUGCAGCACUCAAACAUAAUACAAAUAAAUUAAUUUUUUAAGUAUAAGCCUAAUAAACCCUUUGAAAAACAAA
ensembl:lncRNA